ACCGAGCUUUAAAAAGGAAAGGGGAAUCAUUCUGCUUUUCAAAAAGAGAAACCGUGUUUGGGGAGGAAUCCUAUCUACAUAUUUCUUCUUCAACCUCAUCCUGGGGUCGUGGUUGGAACUUUUCAUCAAUCUUUCCUUUCUUUCUUUCUUUCUUUUUCUUUCUUUCUUCUUCUUUUUUUUUUUUUCUCUCUAAGCCUUUUGCCUAGCUCUGCCUGUCACAACAAAGUCAGCCACAGGCCUCCAGAGAGUAGCCUCUGUGAAAUUUGUCAUAAGGGUGUCAGGUAUUUCUUCCUGGCUUCCAAAGAAAACUCAGAUAAAGAAAUCUUUCCUGGAUCCUUCUGAGGCUGCACUCGGAAGCUCUCUUGAGGUGAAGAAGAAGCUGGAGAGCAGUAGCAAGAAAAACUGGCCAAAGAGUAAAAGAUGCCCCGGGGCAGAAGGCUGACCGGGGUGGAGUUGGGGGUCAGACAGACUCACUUUGCCUGGGCUGUGCUGGAACAAAGUCAAGUUCUUGGCGAUUGAGAGUUUAAGCCCAUCGUGAUUAUGCUGCUCUUACUUAUCCUUCUAUUGCCAGUAGUUUUAAAAUUUAGUUUUGUUAGCAUCUCAGCACAACAGUCCUGGAGCUGUUCGGAAGGCCCUCCCCUGGGAAAUGGGAAUUCCACUUGUGUCGGUCCUGCACCCUACUUAAUUUUCUCCCAUGGAAACAGUAUCUUUAGAAUUGACCCAGAAGGCACAAACCAUGAGCGACUGGUGGUAGAUGCUGGUAUUUCGGUGAUCAUGGAUUUUCAUUACAAGAAGGAAAGAAUCUAUUGGGUGGAUUUAGAAAGACAACUUUUGCAAAGAGUUUUCCUGAAUGGGUCAAGACAAGAGGUUUAUAUUUUGGUCUUCAGAAGUGGACAGCAGUCUUCACAGAGCAGAUCUCAGUGGGGUGAAAGUGAAGACUCUAUUAGAGACACCAGAAAGAAUAACAGCUAUGUCCCUGGAUGUGCUCGAUAAACGCCUCUUUUGGAUUCAGGACAAUAGAGAAGGAAGCAAUUCUCAUAUUUAUUCCUGUGAUUAUGAUGGAAGGUCUGUCCAUCUGAUCAAACCUCCAACACGGUAGGUUUUUCCUUAUGGUUUAAAAUAAAACUAUUGUUAGCUGAAGUUUGU
rnacentral:lncRNA from 1 species